UGGUGGAGUGAUUUGUCUGGUUAAUUCUGAUAACGAACGAGACUCUGGCCUACUAAAUAGUGAACAGAUCGGCAAGUCUGUUGUCACUUCUUAGAGGGACAAGUGGUGUUGAGCCACACGAAAAAGAGCAAUAACA
rnacentral:rRNA from 1 species